AUGAAAGGACUUGAAUUACUCUAUAUGUACAUAUACACAUACCCAUCACUUUUCUGCAAAAUAUGUAUCCUGUCAGUAAGACUUAUUGUGACACUGUCAUAUGAAUCAAUUCAACUGCUGCUAUCUGCAACUUGCACAUCAGUAUUCACAUUUCACCCUAAAAAAAACCACACUUGCACAAGAGGCGACACACUUUCUAAACAGGGAAAAAUAAGUCAAGAAAUGAAUUCCUUGAUUAAUUUGUUUAUUGAUAUAAUAAGAUACAAUUUGACAGAAGCUCCAAAUCAAAUUUAUCCAACAAACAAGAGUACUAGUAGUUAA